ACGAAGGGAGCUAGCGUUGUUCGGAAUUACUGGGCGUAAAGGGUGCGUAGGCGGUUUAAUUAGUCAGAUGUGAAAGCCCUGGGCUCAACCUAGGAACUGCGUUUGAUACUGUUAAGCUAGAAUUCGGGAGAGGUGAGUGGAAUUCCCAGUGUAGAGGUGAAAUUCGUAGAUAUUGGGAAGAACACCGGUGGCGAAGGCGGCUCACUGGACCGACAUUGACGCUGAGGCACGAAAGCGUGGGGAGCAAACAG
rnacentral:rRNA from 1 species